rnacentral:rRNA from 1 species
UACGUAGGGGGCGAGCGUUGUCCGGAAUGACUGGGCGUAAAGGGCGUGUAGGCGGUUUUUUAAGUCUGGAGUGAAAGUCCUGCUUUCAAGGUGGGAAUUGCUUUGGAGACUGGAGGACUAGAGUGCGGAAGAGGUAAGUGGAAUUACCAGUGUAGCGGUAAAAUGCGUAGAUAUUGGUAAGAACACCGGUGGCGAAGGCGACUUACUGGGCCGUAACUGACGCUGAGGCGCGAAAGCGUGGGGAG